rnacentral:rRNA from 1 species
GACGAACGCUGGCGGCGUGCUUAACACAUGCAAGUCGAACGGAAAGGCCCUGCUUUUGUGGGGUGCUCAAGUGGCGAACGGGUGAGUAACACGUGAGUAGCCUGCCCUUGACUUUGGGAUAACUUCAGGAAACUGGGGCUAAUACCGGAUAGGAGCUCCUGCUGCAUGGUGGGGGUUGGAAAGUUUCGGCGGUUGGGGAUGGACUCGCGGCUUAUCAGCUUGUUGGUGGGGUAGUGGCUUACCAAGGCUUUGACGGGUAGCCGGCCUGAGAGGGUGACCGGCCACAUUGGGACUGGGAUACGGCCCAGACUCCUACGGGAGGCAGCAGUGGGGAAUAUUGCACAAUGGGCGGAAGCCUGAUGCAGCAACGCCGCGUGCGGGAUGACGGCCUUCGGGUUGUAAACCGCUUUCGCCUGUGACGAAGCGUGAGUGACGGUAAUGGGUAAAGAAGCACCGGCUAACUACGUG